CCGGUUGUGAAAGCCCCGGGCUCAACCUGGGAACGGCAUCCGGAACUGUCAAGCUAGAGUGCAGGAGAGGAAGGUAGAAUUCCCGGUGUAGCGGUGAAAUGCGUAGAGAUCGGGAGGAAUACCAGUGGCGAAGGCGGCCUUCUGGACUGACACUGACACUGAGGUGCGAAAGCGUGGGUAGCAAACAGGAUUAGAUACCCUGGUAGUCCACGCCGUAAACGAUGUCGACCAGCCGUUGGGUGCCUAGCGCACUUUGUGGCGAAGUUAACGCGAUAAGUCGACCGCCUGGGGAGUACGGCCGCAAGGUUAAAACUCAAAUGAAUUGACGGGGGCCCGCACAAGCGGUGGAGCAUGUGGUUUAAUUCGAUGCAACGCGAAGAACCUUACCUACUCUUGACAUCCUGCGAAUUUGGUAGAGAUACCUUAGUGCCUUCGGGAACGCAGAGACAGGUGCUGCAUGGCUGUCGUCAGCUCGUGUUGUGAAAUGUUGGGUUAAGUCCCGUAACGAGCGCAACCCUUGUCCUUAUUUGCCAGCGCGUAAUGGCGGGAACUCUAAGGAGACUGCCGGUGACAAACCGGAGGAAGGUGGGGACGACGUCAAGUCAUCAUGGCCCUUACGAGUAGGGCUACACACGUGCUACAAUGGUCGGUACAAAGGGUUGCCAACUCGCGAGAGUGAGCCAAUCCCGAAAAGCCGAUCUCAGUCCGGAUCGGAGUCUGCAACUCGACUCCGUGAAGUCGGAAUCGCUAGUAAUCGUGGAUCAGAAUGCCACGGUGAAUACGUUCCCGGGCCUUGUACACACCGCCCGUCACACCAUGG
rnacentral:rRNA from 1 species